GCCCCCACUAAUAGAACAUACAAACAUGGGAAGCCCCCACUAAUAGAACAUACAAACAUGGGAAGCCCCCACUAAUAGAACAUACAAACAAGGGAAGCCCCGACUAAAUAUCUUAAAAAGGUUUGGGAAACAGGGUAAACGGAUUAAUCAUGUUUUUAACUAUGGGAAACCCCCACCAUCUACGGAUACGUUUUGGGAAAUAAGAUAAACUGGUUAAACAUAUUUUCUACAUGGGAAACCCCCACGGCAAGUGAGCCAGCUAAAGACAAACUACGUUUUCGUAAAACACUUAAAACGUACACCCAACUGUGAACUCACUCAACAUUGUUGUUGACUCAUUGUUACAUGCCUUGCAGGCCUUUAGGUGCAUGUCAAAGGAACUUGCUGUCUGGGAAGCUGGAGUGGUCAUGGGUCGGGUCACAAGGAAACGCAGCACAAGACUAAGAGCUUACAUGUGAUUUUAUAAACACUUAUUGGGUUGAAUAUGCUUCCGCUGUAAACUGGGAAAUAUUGUACACUGUUGUUAAUAAAUGAAAGUUUAUUUAAAUAUACUCAUGAUGUUCAAUGUGAUUGGUGGCUAAGAUCCUGGUCAGUCACGCCUCCAAACGGUGGUACUCCGCAUGUGGAUUUUGGGGGUGUGAUGAGGAAUACUUUGUUUGAAGCGGAUGACUUUUCAUACAUGUUGGACAAAGCUUUCAAUACACCAUAUGUGGUUGUUUCAUUGACAAUGUUGUAAGCAACACUCUUUGCCAAAGAAAGCCAAACCACACCCAAAGCUUGUCUAUCCAACAACAUCCAAUCUUCAUCAUACAUGUCAUCUGGUUGUUCAACUGACAUAGGCAAAUGCAAACUUUUCUGAUACAAUAAAUCUUCAAUUUGCAUUUUCCAAAAUCCAUAAUCACUACCAUCGAACUUAUCAAUCUUGAUUUUACUAUCUUCUGCCAUUAAAAAAAAUUACCAAAUUACUACUAACCAAACGGGUUUGUACUGCUAAGUGAUAAUUUAUACGAGCGAAAGCAAUAAUCAGAAACAAAUAACUUAUCUGUUUCAAGCUUUAAUGGCAAGGAUAAGUAUUGAUGAAUAAUGAGAUCUUGUUCAAAGUUGAGGGACCUUUCUUGAUAAAAUUGAAAAAUUCAAUUUUCUUCACCAGAAAUAAAAGUUAAGGGGCCUUUUUGAUCAAAAUUGAAACUUCAAUUUCUCCACCACCAGAAAUAAAAGAUGAGGGGCCUUUCUGAUCAAAAUCGAAACUUUCAAUUCUCCACCAGAAUAAAAGCACAAAAGCACGUAUGCGUGCUUCUUCUUCCCCAAUUCCACCAAAAAAACUCUGGUCUCCCCUUCUUCUUCUUCUUCUUCUUCUUCUUCUUCUUCUUCCUGUCUGUGUUUCAAACAAGAGCAAGACUGGGUUCAAUCGGAACCCUAGACAGCGGCGACGGCGCUGGAAAGAUGGAGGCUGGCAGAACUGCCGGCGGUUUUGACGGCUGUGGUGACGGCGGUUUUCUGAUCAGAAACCCGGCGGCUUCGGAAUCACUGCUAUGAUUCACCUGAGUGGCGACGGUUGCUGGUUCAGAACCCUGAACAGUGACUGCGGACCUGAACAGAGGAAACUGGCGUGAAAGGACCGGCUGAAACUGAUGCAAAUCGGAACCCUAGUUCAAAUUUCUGCACCUUCAGAGCCUGAGCUCUGAUACCAGUUGUUUGGAUCAGGUUGCACUCACGAACACAGAACUCACACAGACACAAAAUUUUCUGUUGAAGAACACAAAGAUUUAUAGUGGUUCGGUCGAUUCUGACCUACAUCCACUGUGGUAACUAGGAGUAUUUGUUAUUAAGCUUGGUACAAGAAUUUACAAAUACAAUACAAUCAUAUAUAAGAUUGAAUGAUAGAGGAAAGAGAAAGACAAGAUCCGUAAAAUCUGGAUCACAGGAAGAUUGGAUAACCCUGUGGAUAUCAUCCUCUUAUCCUGCUUUCUGACCUCAGCUUGAUCAAGUUGUCAAGUGGCUUAGCACUCAACAAUGUCAAAUUGUCAAGUUGGCUUCAUACUCAACAUGGUUUAUAUAGCGGAGCAGGAAUGAUCUCAUCUUCAACCAUAAGUAUCCAAAUAUUGGUAGUGUGGUGGGGGAGAUAAAAUCAAUUGGGUUCAUAUGGGUCAUGAACAGGUCAAAAGCUAGAGGUGUGUCUUGGGAGCAAUGGAAGAACUUUGAAGUAGGAAGUUUGUAUUAGUUUCUGUUAUUUCGUUGGGCUCUUUAGCCUCUGUUAGUUUUCUGGCCUUUUGGUGAAUGAUAUAUGUACUUGGUGUGGCUAAAUUUUGGUUAGCCAAUUUAUAAUAUUGUGGUUUUUGUUGGCCGUUCAAAAAAAAUUCUAACACUCUUUUGAUACU